rnacentral:rRNA from 1 species
UACGAGAGGCCCAAACGUUAUUCGGAAUUACUGGGCGUAAAGGGCUCGUAGGCGGCCAACUAAGUCAGACGUGAAAUCCCUCGGCUUAACCGGGGAACUGCGUCUGAUACUGGAUGGCUUGAAUCCGGGAGAGGGAUGCGGAAUUCCAGGUGUAGCGGUGAAAUGCGUAGAUAUCGUGAGGAACACCAGAGGCGAAGGCGGUUACCUGGACAGUUACUGACGCUCAGGCACGAAAGCAUUGGGGGA